rnacentral:rRNA from 1 species
UACGUAGGGGGCAAGCGUUGUCCGGAUUUAUUGGGCGUAAAGAGCGUGUAGGCGGCCUGACAAGUCUGCUGUGAAAACUCGAGGCUCAACCUCGAGAUGUCGGCGGAAACUGUCUGGCUAGAGUCCGGAAGAGGAGAGUGGAAUUCCUGGUGUAGCGGUGAAAUGCGCAGAUAUCAGGAAGAACACCUAUGGCGAAGGCAGCUCUCUGGGACGGUACUGACGCUGAGACGCGAAAGCGUGGGUAGCAAACGGG